rnacentral:rRNA from 1 species
UACAGAGGUCCCAAGCGUUGUUCGGAUUUACUGGGCGUAAAGGGUGCGUAGGUGGCAAAGCAAGUCUGGCGUGAAAUCUCCGAGCUUAACUCGGAAAUGGCGUUGGAAACUGCUUUGCUAGAGGAUUGGAGGGGAAGCUGGAAUACUUGGUGUAGCAGUGAAAUGCGUAGAUAUCAAGUGGAACACCAGUGGCGAAGGCGAGUUUCUGGACAAUUCCUGACACUGAGGCACGAAAGCUAGGGGAGCAAACGGG